UGGGGAAUUUUGGACAAUGGGGGAAACCCUGAUCCAGCCAUCCCGCGUGUGCGAUGAAGGCCUUCGGGUUGUAAAGCACUUUUGGCAGGAAAGAAACGUCGCGGGUUAAUACCCCGCGAAACUGACGGUACCUGCAGAAUAAGCACCGGCUAACUACGUGCCAGCAGCCGCGGUAAUACGUAGGGUGCAAGCGUUAAUCGGAAUUACUGGGCGUAAAGCGUGCGCAGGCGGUUCGGAAAGAAAGAUGUGAAAUCCCAGAGCUUAACUUUGGAACUGCAUUUUUAACUACCGGGCUAGAGUGUGUCAGAGGGAGGUGGAAUUCCGCGUGUAGCAGUGAAAUGCGUAGAUAUGCGGAGGAACACCGAUGGCGAAGGCAGCCUCCUGGGAUAACACUGACGCUCAUGCACGAAAGCGUGGGGAGCAAACAGGAUUAGAUACCCUGGUAGUCCACGCCCUAAACGAUGUCAACUAGCUGUUGGGGGCCUUCGGGCCUUGGUAGCGCAGCUAACGCGUGAAGUUGACCGCCUGGGGAGUACGGUCGCAAGAUUAAAACUUAAAUGAAUUGACGGGGGUCAUAGCUGUUUCCU
rnacentral:rRNA from 1 species